GAUGAACGCUGGCGGCGUGCCUAAUACAUGCAAGUCGAGCGAACGGACGAGAAGCUUGCUUCUCUGAUGUUAGCGGCGGACGGGUGAGUAACACGUGGAUAACCUACCUAUAAGACUGGGAUAACUUCGGGAAACCGGAGCUAAUACCGGCUGAUAUUUUGAACCGCAUGGUUCAAAAGUGAAAGACGGUCUUGCUGUCACUUAUAGAUGGAUCCGCGCUGCAUUAGCUAGUUGGUAAGGUAACGGCUUACCAAGGCGACGAUGCAUAGCCGACCUGAGAGGGUGAUCGGCCACACUGGAACUGAGACACGGUCCAGACUCCUACGGGAGGCAGCAGUAGGGAAUCUUGCGCAAUGGGCGAAAGCCUGACGGAGCAACGCCGCGUGAGUGAUGAAGGUCUUCGGAUCGUAAAGCUCUGUUAUUAGGGAAGAACAUAUGUGUAAGUAUCUGUGCACAUCUUGACGGUACCUAAUCAGAAAGCCACGGCUAACUACGUG
rnacentral:rRNA from 1 species